rnacentral:tRNA from 1 species
GCCUUCGUGAUGUAGUGGUCAGCACGCUCGACGCGUAACCGAGAGGUCCGUGGUUCGAUUCUCGGCGAAGGCA